CUACGUGCCAGCAGCCGCGGUCAUACGUAGGAUCCGAGCGUUAUCCGGAGUGACUGGGCGUAAAGAGUUGCGUAGGUGGUUCGAUAAGCGAAUAGUGAAAUCUGGUGGCUCAACCAUUCAGACUAUUAUUCGAACUGUUGAACUCGAGAGCAGAAGAGGUAGCUGGAAUUUCUAGUGUAGGGGUGAAAUCCGUAGAUAUUAGAAGGAACACCGAUGGCGUAGGCAGGCUACUGGGCUGUUUCUGACACUGAGGCACGAAAGCGUGGGGAGCGAACCGGAUUAGAUACCCGGGUAGUCCACGCCGUAAACGAUGGAUACUAGCUGUUUGGGGUAUCGACCCCCUGAGUAGCGAAGCUAACGCGUUAAGUAUCCCGCCUGUGGAGUACGAUCGCAAGAUUAAAACAUAAAGGAAUUGACGGGGACCCGCACAAGCGGUGGAUCAUGUUCUUUAAUUCGAUGAUAACCGAUAAACCUUACCAGGUCUUGACAUCCUUGGAAUUUUUCAGAAA
rnacentral:rRNA from 1 species